rnacentral:rRNA from 1 species
GAUGAACGCUAGCGGCAGGCUUAAUACAUGCAAGUCGUGGGGCAGCAUGACUGUAGCAAUACAGUUGAUGGCGACCGGCAAACGGGUGCGGAACACGUACACAACCUUCCUUUAAGUGGGGAAUAGCCCAGAGAAAUUUGGAUUAAUACCCCGUAACAUAAUGAAGUGGCAUCACUUUAUUAUUAUAGCUCCGGCGCUUAAAGAUGGGUGUGCGGCUGAUUAGAUAGUUGGCGGGGUAACGGCCCACCAAGUCGACGAUCAGUAACUGGUGUGGGAGCACGACCAGUCACACGGGCACUGAGACACGGGCCCGACUCCUACGGGAGGCAGCAGUAAGGAAUAUUGGUCAAUGGACGCAAGUCUGAACCAGCCAUGCCGCGUGGAGGAUGAAGGUCCUCUGGAUUGUAAACUUCUUUUAUUUGGGAAGAAAUCUAUCUUUUCUUGGAUAGUUGACGGUACCAGAUGAAUAAGCACCGGCUAACUCCGUGCCAGCCGCCGCCGUAACAC